rnacentral:sRNA from 1 species
AUGAACCUACUGGUGAAAUCAGCAGAGAAAAUGAGUAGAGGCCCAUGGAUGAGAGCAGGCAUACGUCAACCACCAGUGCGUGCAUUCAUGGAUGAUAUGACAAUCAGUACUAAGACUGCAGUUGAAGCAAGAUGGACACUCAAAGAAAUAGAAGAGCUUAUCAGUUGGGCGAGGAUGAAAAUCAAACCAUCAAAGUCUAGAAGUGUGGUACUGAAGAAAGGAAGGGUGACAAACUACGACUUCCAGCUUGGACAGGAGAUAAUUCCAUCAGUCUCAGAGAAGCCAGUGAAAUGCCUUGGGAAGUAUUUUGAUGACACACUGAGGGACACCAAGAACACAACCAACACCGUAGAACAACUACAACAGUGGAUGGACGCGAUAGACAAAAGUGGACUGCCAGGAAAAUACAAAACAUGGAUAUACCAGCAUGGAGUACUCCCUCGGAUUUUGUGGCCUUUGCAGGUGUACGAUGUACCAAUGUCCCGGGUAGAGGCUACGGAGCGCCUGACUACAAAAUUCCUUCGCCGAUGGUUAGCAAUACCACAGUGCUUUAGUAGCGUGGGACUCUACAGUGUGCGCGGAGCCAGGGUGAAUCUAGAAGCAGGCAGGAAGUGGUCUGUUCAAGACACGUUCCGGGAAGCAGAGUUACGCCUGAAGCAAGCAGACAUUGUGGGAAAUGUAGCAGUCGGAAGACUGGGCCUGGGAACAAUUACAUCAACCAGAUGGGGAACAGCAGGCAAAGGAGUGCAAAGGAAGCUAGUGCAAAAGGAAGUCCGGGUGAUGGAGGAAGACUCAAGAAUGGUUAAAGCAGUAGGCAUGAAGAAACAAGGAAGCUUGGUGAAUUCGGAAGCAGUAAGGCAGAGGAAAGUGACCUGGAAUGAUAUAUGGUCGAUGGAGCCAAACAGAUUGCAGUUUCUCCUAAGAUCAGUAUAUGAUGUGCUACCAAGUCCAACAAAUUUGGCAGUAUGGGGCUUAUCUGAUGACCUAAAUUGCAAACUUUGUGGAAAACAAGCAAAUUUGGAGCAUAUAUUGUCAUCAGGCUCCGUAGCAUUGUCUGAAGGCCGGUAUACAUGGCGGCAUGACCAGAUACUUUCGGUGCUUGCAGACUCUCUCGAAAAAGCCAGGAAGAGACCACCACCAAAGGACAAGCGGCUCAAGUUCAUCAACUGUGUAAGAGCAGGAGAGAGGGAGAAGAUAGGCAGCACUGGGGAUGGUAGAGGACUUCUUGGCACGGCAGGAGACUGGCAAAUGCGAGCUGACCUGAAAACCAGAAUGCAAUUCCCAACGGAAGUAGCAUCCACCAACAAGCGACCCGACAUAGCGAUCUGGUCUUUGGCAAGUAGGCAGGUCAUUGUAGUGGAGCUGACAGUUCCUUGGGAGGAGAGAAUGGAAGACGCAUAUGAGCGGAAAAUGGGAAAAUAUCAGGUGCUUGUGGCAGAUUGUCAGGAGAGAGGGUGGAGAGUAUGGUGUUUCCCAGUGGAGGUUGGCACGCUGGGCUUUGUUGGACAAUCCUUGUUGCGAGCCCUGAGAGUCAUCGGAGUUAUUGGGUUGGAGAGAAGACAGCUCAUAGAGCGACUAAGCAGAGAGGCAGAAAUAUCAUCGUUAUGGUUGUGGAGAAGAAGAGAGGGACAGUGGGGAAGACAGUGA